GCGCAGCAGGCAAGAAACCUCCGCAAUACACGAAAGUGUGACGGGGCCAUCCCGAGUGCCGUCCGCUGAGGACGGCUUUUCCCCAGUGUACAUAGCUGGGGGAAUAAGGAGAGGGCAAGCCUGGUGUCAGCCGCCGCGGUAAUACCAGCUCUCCGAGUGGUGGGGACGCUUAUUGGGCCUAAAGCAUCCGUAGCCGGCUAGGCAAGUCCUCCGUUAAAUCCAACGAUUCAAUCGUUGGGCUGCGGGGGAUACUGUCCAGCUUGGGGGGCGGGAGAGGCCGACGGUAUUCCCGGGGUAGGGGUGAAAUCCUAUAAUCCCGGGAGGACCACCAGUGGCGAAGGCUGUCGGCUAGAACGCGCCCGACGGUGAGGGAUGAAAGCUGGGGGAGCGAACCGGAUUAGAUACCCGGGUAGU
rnacentral:rRNA from 1 species